UUCAUACUCCUAAGGAUAAUGCUUAUCCUUUUACACCCUCCUCCACUGCUUAAACCAAGUGAGAUGGUUUUGACUUUGGCCGAACUACUAAAUGACCGAAAUAAGCUUGGCUAUGCAGAGCCACUGAGUAAACCGAACUAUUCUUAGUUCGGUUCCACCUUUAACUCUAUCCUUAUCUCGGUUUUCUCAUGUACAACCAAUGGUACGGUCUUAGACCGAACCAAUGACUUUCGGCCGGUAUGACUCCAAGACCGACAUAACUCUAAGUCGUUCCUGGACCGAAGUAUCUUUAUAAUUCCUGAGCCGAAGUAAUUUUACCUCCCUGGCCGGAGUAACUUUGUUUCUCCUAGGCCGGAGUAACCUUGCCUCUCCUGGGCCGAAGUAACCUUUUGCAUUUUUCUUGAGCCAGAGUAAGCAUUACGGCCUUUUUACUUAGUCCUUCGCACUUUGGGCCACAAAGCCCAACUCGCAGCUCGGCCCAAUUUUUUCCAAAAAUUACCCUCUCAUAUACAUACUCAAGGGCAGUAAGAUGUGGCAUAGCUCCAAAUGACAAGGAUCUUGUAGUUGUCCCUAUCGGUAAUACUUUCCAUCUCCUAUUUCCUAGUCCCUUAAAUCGCUUCAAAUUCAUGAGGUAGAGGGAUUUUAGGAAUGGGAAGAGUCCUCUUGACAUAGAAGAAGUCGGAGAAGAACGAGUGUUAUAAUCACCACCACUACUGCUACACUCCUCUUCCUUACAAUUGUACUCCAAGGAAUCCAAAUAAUGGUUGUUGCUAUUUUGUUAUUUCUAUUGCUAUAAUUUGGCAAUGAAUAGUGUUAUUUUGUCAAAUUAUAGCAAUAGUGCUCCAAUGGUCAUUUGCUAUUUUUGGCAAAUCUCAACUAACUUUUCCUCCAAAUUUGUAGGUAUUGUUUGGAUAUAUGUUUUUUGUGAUUUUAUUUUUGUUUAUUUUUUGUGUUUUGUGAUAUUUUUUUACCUGUUUGUUAUAAAAAUUUUAUAUUUAUAUUAUUCACAACUAGACAAAUAUAAAAAAAUUUAAAAAAAUGAAAAAUUGAAAAAAAAAAUUUGUUUGUUUAAUUCACCCCACCAAAAAACAUAUCACUACAUAUUUAAUAAAUUUUUUUAAAUACACAUAAAAAAUAAACAAUCAUCAAUACCAACAACCAACCACCAACAACCAUCCAAAUUAAAAAUUAAAAAUUAAAUGGCAUUACUAAAUUAAAAAAUAAACAACGGCUCCUCCAUCUAUCUCUCUAGAACAAUCUGUAUCCAUCUAUCUAUGACACCAAGCUCUUUCUCUCUCUCUGCUCUCUCUUCAUUCAUUGCCCUCACCCACCGAUCAUUAUCUCUCUCUCAUCUUUUCUCAUCUCCUCUCCUCAAAUCUUCCAAAUCAAACCCUAACCAAGAUCUCUCUCCACUGAUCUCCAUCUCUCUCCACUGAUCUCGGUCUAUCUAUCUAGAACAAGCCGAUCUCUCUAUCUAGAACAAGCUGAUCUCUCUAUCAAGAUCUCUCUCUACUGAUCCAUCUAUCUAUCUAGAACAAGCCGAUCUCUCUCCACUGAUCUCGAUCUCUCUCCACUGAUCUCGGUCUCCAUCGAUGAAGCCGAAGCUGGUUCAGUCACGGUUUUCCAGCAUAGUGUGAGUUCGGUCCCGAUUUGGAGAAAUGCAAGCCCUGGUUGAUCCAUUACGCCCCUCAUCUCUACCCCGAUCUUCUCAAAGAUGCAUUUCUCUUGAAGAUGACAACAGUCCAAUGAUUGGUAACAAUCCAACUGUUGGUAAUAAUCCAAUCAGUGAGGGUAGUGUCUUUGCAAGGAGUAAAAGGCAUAUGAGUAAGAAAGCUGCAAAAGAAUUAUUUCAGAGAAAUCAAGUCAUUGAAGCUAAAGUCUACAAAUUUAGCAAUGUGUUGGAGACAUUUAAUCAACACCUUGUUGAAAAGGAAAAGAAAAAAGAUAA